rnacentral:rRNA from 1 species
GACGAACGCUGGCGGCGUGCUUAACACAUGCAAGUCGAACGGAAAGGCCCUGCUUGCAGGGUACUCGAGUGGCGAACGGGUGAGUAACACGUGGGUGAUCUGCCCUGCACUUCGGGAUAAGCCUGGGAAACUGGGUCUAAUACCGGAUAGGAGCCAUUUUUAGUGUGAUGGUUGGAAAGUUUUUUCGGUGUAGGAUGAGCUCGCGGCCUAUCAGCUUGUUGGUGGGGUAAUGGCCUACCAAGGCGGCGACGGGUAGCCGGCCUGAGAGGGUGGACGGCCACAUUGGGACUGAGAUACGGCCCAGACUCCUACGGGAGGCAGCAGUGGGGAAUAUUGCACAAUGGGCGCAAGCCUGAUGCAGAGACGCCGCGUGGGGGAUGACGGCCUUCGGGUUGUAAACUCAUUUCGCUAGGGACGAAGCUUUUUGUGACGGUACCUAGAUAAGAAGCACCGGCUAACUACGUG